rnacentral:rRNA from 1 species
GACGAACGCUGGCGGCGUGCUUAACACAUGCAAGUCGAACGGAAAGGCCCUGCUUUUGUGGGGUGCUCGAGUGGCGAACGGGUGAGUAACACGUGAGUAACCUGCCCUUGACUUUGGGAUAACUUCAGGAAACUGGGGCUAAUACCGGAUAGGAGCUCCUGCUGCAUGGUGGGGGUUGGAAAGUUUCGGCGGUUGGGGAUGGACUCGCGGCUUAUCAGCUUGUUGGUGGGGUAGUGGCUUACCAAGGCUUUGACGGGUAGCCGGCCUGAGAGGGUGACCGGCACAAUGGGGCCGGGGAUACGGCCCAACUUCCAAGGGGAGGAAGAGGGGGGGAUUAUGGACCAAUGGGCGAAGGCCUAAGGCACAAACCCCGCGGGGGGAUGGCCGCCCUUCGGGUGGAAACCCCCUUUGGCUUGUAACGAGCCUUGGUUACGGUAAAUGGGUAAAAAGGACCCGCCUACUACGUG